AGUGCCACACCAAAAAUACAGGCACCAGUCGCCCCGAGGAAAAUGCUAAUGGUCGAGAACAGAUCCACACCUGGAACGAACAGAGAUGAGAGUCAAUUGAAAAAAUUAAAGAGGACUCCGGGUGUAAACCAGCAGGAGGAGUCCCUCCUGGGUCCAUAGCCGUGAGGAAAGUGAAUGUCUCGACCCAAAAAGCGCACCAUGCCGGCCUCCAUGUCGAUCCUGUCAUCCAUUUUGCAAUAAGAAACAACAGUCUCAGCCCGUAGAUACCUGUAUGUUGGCUUCAACUCCCAGGACAGUCCGUCUGUGUCCAGUAUGAGGUUUCCUCCAGACAUCCACUCCCUCGACUGCCGAAUACGCUGCACUGCAUGAGCCAUGAAGAGGACAGAGCUGUAGAUGGUGCCGAAGAGAGGAGACACCUGCAGGACAAACCAGACAGAUGUCAGCUUCCUUGCUAAAGGGACUCUCAGCAGGAUUCUUCUAAUUAAAAAUCCAAUUAAAAAGCAAA